CUACCGCGGCGAGGCGGCCACGGUCUGGUCCCUGGGCAUCCUGCUCUACCAGAUGGUCUGCGGGAAGCACCCGUUCUGCAGAGGCACCAACACCAUCUGGGACCAGCUCCCGUUCCCACCACGGGUCUCUCGAGGGUGCCAGCACCUUAUCAGGUGGUGUUUGUCCAUCCACCCCUCGGACAGGCCAUCAUUGGAAGACCUAUUGUGCCAUCCUUGGGUGCAGGGCAUUUGCCUGCUCUAGAAGACAGGAGAGAUCCACGUGCUCACUUUGAUCCAGGGGCCUGACAGCUGGGCCCUCGGCAGAACACUGACAGCCUGGUCUGGCCCCCAGGGAAGGAGAAGGGGCCUCUGGAGAAGCUGUGCCGGGUGGGGCUGCUGCUGGAGACAUCGAGGACGACGUCAGGGAUGACAAGCUCUUUGUUGUUGACCUGGACACUGGCGAGCUGAAGAUGAUGGACUUUGAUUCUGGCCCCUUCCUCCAAGCCGUGCUCCACACGCCGUUUGCAGAUGAGUCCACACCCAGGGGGUGCUCCCGGGCAUUGCUCAGCCUGGCUGGGCACCAAAGGUUCCCCCUUUGCUGGCGGGGAACCCGAUGAAUUCUUCAGCCGGCUGCCAAGCUGCUUCUUGGCAGGAGGGCGGGCUGGGCUCUGGGCUGGGUGUGAAAUGGGAGCCCGGCUCUGCCCCCAGCCUCUGCCACUGCCCCUUUGCUGGGCGGGGCUGGGGCAGGGGCAGCCAGCCUGCCAAAAACAAACCCCCGUGGGGGGAGCAAAGGUGGGGCUGCAGAACACCAGCUGCUUUGGUCUGCAGGCCAGGAAAGGCUUGGGCUGCCUUGGCUUAGGAGCCUUUUCUUGGGCCAGUGCAGCAGGGCAGGGAGAAGGCCUGGGUUUUCCUUACCUGGAGGAGGAGCUUUCCUUUGGUGUGGAGGGGUUGGGCCUUCCUCAGAACCCUGACAGAAUGUUAACAUUUUACCUUUUUUUCUUGUUUCCACUUUUGGUUUGUAAUCUCUUGUCAUGAAUUUGUUGUUUGUUUUCCAGGGAAGAGUUGGAGCUGGUGCCCAGUCCGGAUUGGGAAGGGCUGGGAUCAUCCCUGGAGAGGAUCUGACGUCCCCUCUGAGAAGGCUGAGGACAUCCUUUGGGACACGCUCUUCUUGCGGCAGCAGAUCUUGUGAGACAGGACACCUCUGCCUGAUCUCCCACAGAUUUGAGGGAUCACUGGAUCUUCAUGCCAGCACCAGGACUUUGCUGCAGAA